GGCUCGGACGGUAGAGAAUCUGCCUGCAGAGCAGGAGACCCAGGUUCAAUUCCUGG
rnacentral:tRNA from 1 species